CCCUUCAAAUCCAUUCCCAUUGGACCCCUGAGAACAGUGUGGGAAGAUUUAAUGAACAUCUACCAUGGAAAGACUGAAGUGGGUGAAAAUUGCCCCUCCCUUCUUACAUGGGUGCCUUCUACGAACAGAAAACAAAAGAUAAGAUCCAAGCUCCUUGAACAGAAACUAACAGUUACUGAAUAAAAUUGAAGGACAGGAUUCUGAGAGUUGAACCUGGGACAUUCUGUACCCAAAGUAUCACUGAACCAUGGCCCGUUUCCCUAAGACAGGAUGAUAUUAAUCUCUACAUUUUAUAGUAAAGAGCAUG